rnacentral:rRNA from 1 species
AUUCCAGCUCCAAUAGCGUAUAUUAAAGUUGUUGCGGUAAAAAAGCUCGUAGUUGGAUUUCUGUUGAGGGCGUCCGGUCCGUACCACGUACGCGUAUCUGGGUCGCGCUCGGCAUCCUCUCGAAGAACGGUUCUCGCGCUUGAUUGCGUGGUCCGGGUUUCGGGACUUUUACUUUGAGGAAAUUAGAGUGUUCACGGCAGGCAAUUGCCCGGAUACAUUAGCAUGGAAUAAUACUAUAGGAUUUUGGUUCUAUUUUGUUGGUUUCUAGGACUAAAAUAAUGAUUAAUAGGGACAAUUGGGGGCAUUCGUAUCAACACGCUAGAGGUGAAAUUCUUGGAUUGUGUUGCGACGAACUACUGCGAAAGCAUUUGCCAAGGAUGUUUUCAUCG